rnacentral:rRNA from 1 species
UUAGAUACCCUAUUAUUUUAAAUUAAAAAUAUUAUACCAGGUUAGUAUUAGUUAUGUUCUUGAAAAUUAAAGAAGAUGGCGGUAUUUUAGUCUGUUCAGAGGAACCUGUCCUAUAAUUGAUGGUCCACGAUUUAUUGUACUUACUUUUUCUAGUUUGCAUAUCCCCGUAGAUUGAAUAUUCUUUAAGGAGAGAAACGUUCAAGAGGUUUUUAAUGUGAAAAUAAAUCAGGUCAAGAUGUAGCUUAUAAGUAAGAAGAGAUGGGUUACAAUAAAUUAAUUUAUUAUGGAUUAAUAAAUGAAAUUUAUUAUGAAGGUGGAUUUGAAAGUAAUUUUAUAAAAAUUUAUAAAAUGAUUCUAGCUCUAAGAUAUGUACACAUCGCCCGCCC